rnacentral:rRNA from 1 species
GACGAACCGUGCAAACGUUAUUCGGAAUCACUGGGCUUAAAGGGCGCGUAGGCGGGCCGCCAGGUCCGGGGUGAAAGCCUCCAGCUCAACUGGAGAAGUGCCUUGGAUACCGGCGGCCUCGAGGGAGGCAGGGGCGUGCGGAACUUCGGGUGGAGCGGUGAAAUGCGUAGAUAUCCGAAGGAACACCGGUGGCGAAAGCGGCGCGCUGGACCGUCUUCUGACGCCUGAGGCGCGAAAGCCAGGGGAGCAAACGGG